GUCAAGUGCUACAGGAAGCGUGGGGUGAAAUGUCAAGUGCUACAGGAAGCGUGGGGUGAAAUGUCAAGUGCUACAGGAAGCGUGGGGUGAAAUGUCAAGUGCUACAGGAAGCGUGGGGUGAAAUGUCAAGUGCUACAGGAAGCGUGGGGUGAAAGGUCAAGUGCUACAGGAAGCGUGGGGUGAAAGGUCAAGUGCUACAGGAAGCGUG